rnacentral:rRNA from 1 species
GGGUGAGUAACACGUGGAUAACCUACCUAUAAGACUGGGAUAACUUCGGGAAACCGGAGCUAAUACCGGAUAAUAUUUUGAACCGCAUGGUUCAAAAGUGAAAGACGGUCUUGCUGUCACUUAUAGAUGGAUCCGCGCUGCAUUAGCUAGUUGGUAAGGUAACGGCUUACCAAGGCGACGAUGCAUAGCCGACCUGAGAGGGUGAUCGGCCACACUGGAACUGAGACACGGUCCAG